GCACAGGUGGGGCUCUCGGAUCCAUAGCUGGGCCUGUGGGUGACCUUGGCAUGCCCUCUAUCUCUCUACGCUGACUCCCUGAAGCCAUAACUUACGGCACACCCAGCGCAGGCCCAGUGGACCCAGGGGAUCUGCAGGGCAGGGACCCAGCCUGUUUCGGGCCUCUGUUCCCCAGGACACUCCCGCUCUGAUCAGACUGUCUGUGACCUGAGCAGGAAGCUAGCCAAAGGCAAUACCCACCCAGAUCCUGGAGGCAAGAGGCCAACAGGCGGGAACAAAGAUUUUUCCAUGGUUCCACUGUUAAUGAGGAACUGACACACUCCAGGGCCUCAACUGGUCUUUCACCCUCCUCUCCUUCCCCAAAUUUCCAUCAUUGGUGAUAUUUACAUUGGAAUUAUGCCCAGGACUUCAGGAACCCAGCAUGGGAGGUAGAGCUGUUUAGAGGCGGAAGUGAGGAGCACAGGCCCUGCUCUGCAUUUGCCUACCUGAGCAACGGGAAUAAAGCCGGACUCCGCCUCCCCUGGUGCUGUGUGGCUUCGCGGGCCGAGGCGCUCAGCACUGAGCCCAGGGCCUGUUGGUGAAAAACGCGUCGCUCCAGGCGUCCUAAGCGCCAGUGAUGUAGCUCUGCGCUCAUGCACGGAAAGGCACCUGAGAGCGCGGACGAGGAAUGGGAGGGCCUUGAGCCGUCUCGCCCUGUCUGUGAGGUGCUAAUGGACCCAGUGUGCAAUGCAUCAGACAUCUCGGGAGACAGAGAGAGGAAUCGCCCAAUCCGUCACCCUGGAGAGCUGUCAGGAAAGAGAGUGUGGCUCUGCCCCUCCCCCUGUGAAUGACACAAGGGUAGACCCCAGGGUGUUUGACCUGGAAAGGGCCUCUGAGUCACCUCCUCCAACCUCCACCUUGUGCAGGUGGGAGAUGAGGUCCGGGGAGGCUGAGGGGCUUCCCAAGUUGACAUGCGGGGAGAAGGAGAGAGGAGAAGACUCAGCACUGAAGAGACAGGGAGUGCUUCAGGAAGGAGGCCAGUGAGGGCGAGUGAAGACAACACACACUUGUGUGAUGACAUUUUCUACAGUAAACACCCAGGGAAAAGCCACAGCAUAGGGACCACAAGGGACAGGGGUGCUGCUGCGGCGGCCACACCUUGCUCACCUACGGUGACACCGGGACCUGGCACCAGUUCAAGCAGCGCCCACAGCGGAGGAGCAACCUGGACCCCAGGUGCCCCGGCCGCGGGCUGCGGCUCAGGAUAGGAAAGGAUCUCCCUCUCGAUAAAAGAAGUAGACAGGCCGGGCGCGGCGGCUCACGAGAGGCCUGUGGUGGUUCACACUGUUUUAGGGGGACCCUUCUGCCCAGGGGAAACCUUCCCCAGAGAAUCAAGGAGCUGCUGUGGCCGAGACAGCCGCACACGGAGCCUCCUGGGUAGACAGAGCCUGCCUUUCCAGCUGCGGAGCCCCGGCCAUUCCUUGCCCUCUCUGGCCUUAGUGACCCUAUUAAUACAGCUGGGGCUGCACAAGGAGGGUCUCACCAGCCCUUUGAGUCCACUCACUCUAGGGCCUCAGAAAUCCCCCCUGGCUGCACCUCUGGCCUCCUCAAGGGCUGCCGGGAACGCCAGGACCCCUGGGGCCACAGCCCCUCCCCUGCUUCCAGCCUCCAUGCCUCCACCCAGCCUCCACCCACAGGCCGCCAGCAGCUCUCCUGGUUCACCCUUGGCCCUUUGUGUUUACUGAAGGCCUAUGUGAGGGGUGAGUUGGGGAGGCCAGCAGGAAGCUGACCAUACUCCUGGGAUCUGCCAGAGAAAAAGAAGCCCCUUCAGGUCCAGCAGAGGCUGAGCUUGACGUGGUGGACGAGUCGGGUCUCUUUCCAUUGCAAGGGGGCAGAAGCCUGAUUCAAAUGGGCUGAAGCACAAGGGGAAAAUCGUCGGCUCAUUUCACUGAAAAGUCCAGGGGAUGGAUGGCUUCAGGAAAGGCAGGAUCAAGGGCUCACAAGUGACAUCUUUAAGAAUUCACCUCUCAGCUGGGUGCAGUGGUUCCUGCCUGUAAUCCUAGCACUUUGGGAGUCUGAGGCAGGAGGAU
rnacentral:lncRNA from 1 species